rnacentral:lncRNA from 1 species
UAAAUUUCACAAUUCACAGCACAGUCCUACUUAUACACACCAUAAUAAAUUGAUUCAUUAUGCUAAUUGAAACAUUUUGAGGACUAAACAUUAUAAAUAUAAAUGAUACUAGACAACAAGAAUAAGACUCAUCAUGGUCAUUCCAUUUCAAAUUCCAAUUCUAGACUUCAAAUACAUUUAGAUGAUGUCCAUAAGGCUGAGUAAUACCUGGAAAUGAGAAUGAAUAAUGGUAAGAUUCAGCAGUAGCAACAGAAAUCAGCACAUAGUAGAACCAAUUGAGAAGUGAAAUCAGCUCAAAUCAGCAAUGAACCAGUAUUUCUAACAACAAAUUUAAACCAGCUUUAAGAAUAUACCCGAAAAACUUUCAAUCAACCAAAAACAUCAAUAGACCAACCAGAAUGUUUCAGCACCAAAAAGUUUUCAGAAAUUAACCAAGAGAAUCCAAUGGAACAUCACUUCUUUAACAGUUCUUUUUUUAUUAUUUUUUUUUUACUUCUGACUCUAUUAAGCUUUCUUUCUAUCUUUGUAAUCUUUCAAUCCUAAAUCUCUUUUGUAUUCUUUCAGAGUUUUUUUUCAGAAUCUUCUUAUAUGAACUCAGUCUAUCUAUGAACUCCUUCCAUCUCUUUUUACUCUAUCUUUUCAAUAUUUCAGAGUCUUCCUAUGUGUAUAUGAACUCAGUGCCUAUCUCUCUCUAUGUGUGUUGAUUUUCAGCCCCUUUAAAUAGGCAUUCAGCUUAGUGCCUUCUCCAUUACCAAUUCACCUUUUCAUUUCUUAAUUGUCCACUUAACCUAGUUAGUGUAAUUCUAAUCCUACCACUAUUGAGAAGCUUCUCAAUUAGGUGAAUACCCUUUUUAUUAAACAAUCUCCAAUAUUACCUUAAGUUUCUAUUUUUAACAAUAUCUUAAGUUCUGAAUUAUCACAAUCUCAACAACAGUAAGUAAAAGAAACUGAGACUUUCAGCUGGAUUGAAAUUCAAUGAAAUUCAAAAAUAGUUGUUAAAUCAUGUUAAACCAUGGAAUUUUCAAAAAUUGUCUUGAAACAGGAGCUAAUGCAGAGGAUAGACUAUCCUUCUAAUCUCAAAGCUUUCAGUUUCAGAAUUAAUUCACAAACAUAAUCAAUGAAACCUAACAGAAGGGGGAAAAUCCUACGAAUUUGAAACCAAAUUACAACCAAACCUUAGGAAACUAAUUGUUAUUAACAAUAAGUUAAAUGAACAUAAAUACCAGAGAAACAAAUUGAACUCCCAAUUCAAGUAAAAAAAAAAUAAACAAAACUCAAUUACAACCUGAAACUAGAAUAAACGAAAUUUAAACCAACUCUAAACUAUCAGUUAAGGCAAGAUUAAAUUACCACAUUUAUUUUAAUCAGAAGCCAAAUUGAGACUAUGAACUAGGAAAUCAUCAAGUCAUUCAGUAAACAGACACACAAAACAUAAUAAGUGAUUAAGCCUAGAAUAGAAUGAACGAACGAAAACAAACACACGAAUUUCUGGCUUGGCAAAAACUUAGUCGAUUUUCGACUGAUUUAAACCAAGAGAAGAAGUGAAGAGAAAAAAAAGAAAGUAAAAAGGAAAGAAUAAACUUACCAAUCUGGUUCGAACUUGACUGACCUUGAUUCGAUCCCCAAAUAGCGUCAAUCGCUUGUUCUUUGCUAAGAACAAACGACCAACGUCAUUUGGAGAUUGAAUCGACAAGAACACUGAAGAGACGUUAGAGGAAAAUCUGUGCAUGCGAAAUUCCGACUGAACUCCUAAAGCUCGAACCCUGAUCCUAAAAUUUGACGAGCUCUGGCCUCAUUCGAAGGGUACAAGGUGGGGGUUUGGAAAGAGGGGAGUGAGGGGGUCAUGGGGUGUCAUUUUGAUGGUGGUUAGAGGGGGUGCCGCCGGGUUUUAGGGCUGUGGAAAAGGGUGGCGGCUAGGGUUUUGGGAGGGGUGUUCUCUGAGUGAGAGAGAUGAGUGACCGAGGGGGUUC